GAUGAACGCUGGCGGCGUGCCUAAUACAUGCAAGUCGAGCGAACAGACGAGGAGCUUGCUCCUCUGACGUUAGCGGCGGACGGGUGAGUAACACGUGGAUAACCUACCUAUAAGACUGGGAUAACUUCGGGAAACCGGAGCUAAUACCGGAUAACAUGUUGAACCGCAUGGUUCAACAGUGAAAGACGGUCUUGCUGUCACUUAUAGAUGGAUCCGCGCCGCAUUAGCUAGUUGGUAAGGUAACGGCUUACCAAGGCAACGAUGCGUAGCCGACUUGAGAGGGUGAUCGGCCACACUGGAACUGAGACACGGUCCAGACUCCUACGGGAGGCAGCAGUAGGGAAUCUUCCGCAAUGGGCGAAAGCCUGACGGAGCAACGCCGCGUGAGUGAAGAAGGUCUUCGGAUCGUAAAACUCUGUUAUUAGGGAAGAACAAAUGUGUAAGUAACUAUGCACGUCUUGACGGUACCUAAUCAGAAAGCCACGGCUAACUACGUG
rnacentral:rRNA from 1 species